rnacentral:rRNA from 1 species
GACGAACGCUGGCGGCGUGCUUAACACAUGCAAGUCGAACGGAAAGGCCCUGCUUUUGUGGGGUGCUCGAGUGGCGAACGGGUGAGUAACACGUGAGUAACCUGCCCUUGACUUUGGGAUAACUUCAGGAAACUGGGGCUAAUACCGGAUAGGAGCUCCUGCUGCAUGGUGGGGGUUGGAAAGUUUCGGCGGUUGGGGAUGGACUCGCGGCUUAUCAGCUUGUUGGUGGGGUAGGGGCUUACCAAGGCUUUGCCGGGUAGCCGGCCUGAGAGGGUGACCGGGCACAGUGGGGCUGAGGUACGGCCCAGACUCCUACGGGGGGCAGCAGGGGGGAAUAUUGCACAAUGGGCGGAAGCCUGAUGCAGCAACGCCGCGUGCGGGAUGACGGCCUUCGGGUUGUAAACCGCUUUCGCCUGUGACGAAGCGUGAGUGACGGUAAUGGGUAAAGAAGCACCGGCUAACUACGUG